rnacentral:rRNA from 1 species
UACGUAGGGUGCAGGCGUUAAUCGGAAUUACUGGGCGUAAAGCGUGCGCAGGCGGUUUGUUAAGACAGAUGUGAAAUCCCCGAGCUUAACUUGGGAAUUGCGUUUGUAACUGGCAAGCUAGAGUGUAGCAGAGGGGGGUAGAAUUCCACGUGUAGCAGUGAAAUGCGUAGAUAUGUGGAGGAAUACCGAUGGCGAAGGCAGCCCCUGGGUUAACACUGACGCUCAUGCACGAAAGCGUGGGGAGCAAACAGGAUUAGAUACCUGGUAGUC